rnacentral:rRNA from 1 species
GAUGAACGCUGGCGGCGUGCCUAACACAUGCAAGUCGAACGAUGAAGCCCAGCUUGUGGGGUGGUGUAGUGGCCAACGGGCGAGUAACACGUGAGUAACCUACCCUUAACUCUGGGUUAAGCCUGGUAAACUGGGUCUAAUACCGGAUAGGAGCGUCCACCACAUGCUGGGUGUUGGAAAGAUUUAUCGGUUUUGGGUGGACUCGAGGCCUAUCAGCUUGUUGGUGAAGUAAUGGCACACCAAGGCCAUGGCGGGUAGCCGGCCUGUGACGGUGACCGGCCACACUGGGACUGAGACACGGACCAGACUGCUACGGGAGGCAGCGGUGGGGAAUAUUGCACAAUGGGCGCAAGCCUGAUGCAGCGACGCCGCGUGAGGGAUGACGGCCUUCGGGUUGUAAACCUCUUUCAGUAGGGAAGAGGAGAUAGUGACGGUACCUGCAGAAGAAGCCCCGGCUAACUACGUG